GUCCAGGCGGAAAAACGAAACAAUCUGCAUAUCCGAAAUCCAUUUAUGAAAUGCUUGGUUUACGAACUUUGAAACAACGCCAUUGUUUUGCGAAUAGAAUAAUUGUUUCCAUAAAGGUAGCGAUUUAAAUCCGAGUCACAGCGGACGACCUUGAAGCUUUGACUCUGAAAAUCGCGGAAAACUAACUUCCAGAGACCUUCUAAGAGAAUGAAGAAACACUCCGCAAAAUAGAAACGAUAGACAUGGAAGAGGAGAAAGAGAAUUUUGGAGAUUUUCUGUUUUCUCUGUUGCUCUUCUUGUUUCUUUUUGUGUAUUUUGAUGUCAUAAAACGAAUACAGGACUACUCGAAAGAGAGAGUUACCAUAAGAGAAACCAUAGUUAAGCGAUGCUGGGGAUAGUUGGCAGCUGUUUGAAUCUAUGAAACGAACAAAAUUUUAGUGAGCUAUAUGGAUUUACAACUGUCUUAUACUGUGGUUUUAAAGACGAAAUCUUGUUUUAUCUCUUGACGGCAAAAAUACUUCUGAAUAAUCUCUAAUGAGCUGGUAUUUUAUUGAUGUGUAUAUAGAAUGUGAUACUAAUGUAAAUAAAAUGUGUAUAUAAAAUUGACUUUUAAUAAAGGUUUACUUAAGAGGACAAUUCUUCAAUGCAA